CCUACGGGAGGCAGCAGUGGGGGAUAUUGCACAAUGGGGGAAACCCUGAUGCAGCGACGCCGCGUGUGGGAAGACGGAUUUCUGGAUUGUAAACUAUAGCCGCCAGGGAUGAAAAUGAAGGUACCUGGGGAGGAAGCUCCGGCUAACUACGUGCCAGCAGCCGCGGUAAUACGUAGGGAGCAAGCGUUGUCCGGAAUUACUGGGUGUAAAGGGAGCGUAGCCGGGGAUGCAAGUAGGAGGUAAAAACUAACGGCUAAACCGAUGGUCGCACUCGAAACUGCAAAACUUGAGUGAGGGAGAGGCAAGAGGAAUUCCUAGUGUAGCGGUGAAAUGCGUAGAUAUUAGGAGGAACACCAGUGGCGAAGGCGUCCUACUGGACUUAUACUGACGCUGAGGCUCGAAAGUGUGGGGAGCAAACAGGAUUAGAUACCCUGGUAGUC
rnacentral:rRNA from 1 species